AUUGAACGCUGGCGGCAUGCCUUACACAUGCAAGUCGAACGGUAACAGGUCUUCGGAUGCUGACGAGUGGCGAACGGGUGAGUAAUACAUCGGAACGUGCCUAGUAGUGGGGGAUAACUACUCGAAAGAGUGGCUAAUACCGCAUGAGAUCUACGGAUGAAAGCAGGGGAUCGCAAGACCUUGUGCUACUAGAGCGGCCGAUGGCAGAUUAGGUAGUUGGUGGGAUAAAAGCUUACCAAGCCGACGAUCUGUAGCUGGUCUGAGAGGACGAUCAGCCACACUGGGACUGAGACACGGCCCAGACUCCUACGGGAGGCAGCAGUGGGGAAUUUUGGACAAUGGGCGCAAGCCUGAUCCAGCAAUGCCGUGUGCAGGAUGAAGGCCUUCGGGUUGUAAACUGCUUUUGUACGGAACGAAAAGCCCUGGGUUAAUACCCUGGGGUCAUGACGGUACCGUAAGAAUAAGCACCGGCUAACUACGUGCCAGCCGCCGCGGUAAUAC
rnacentral:rRNA from 1 species